rnacentral:rRNA from 1 species
UACGUAGGGUGCGAGCGUUAAUCGGAAUUACUGGGCGUAAGGCGUGCGCAGGCGGUGAUGUAAGACCGUUGUGAAAUCCCCGGGCUCAACCUGGGAACUGCAUCUGUGACUGCAUUGCUGGAGUGCGGCAGAGGGGGACGGAAUUCCGCGUGUAGCAGUGAAAUGCGUAGAUAUGCGGAGGAACACCGAUGGCGAAGGCAAUCCCCUGGGCCUGCACUGACGCUCAUGCACGAAAGCGUGGGGAGCAAACAGG